AGACCUCAAGGAGCUUGCAUACAAGUGAGUGUUGUAUCCUAUCCUAUGCUCUUAUGAUUAUUGAAUGCUCAGAUUCUUGUUAUUUGGGUAGCUGAGCCAUGGAUGAUUCUCUUUCACAAAGAUAUGGUUUUAAGCAUUAUCCUUUCAUAUGCAUGAAUUUUUUAAGAGUGUGAAGUGUGUUUUGAGUUUUAAGGAAGUGACUCGAGAAUUAAGCUCCAGUUUGCUUACAUUUCACAAUUAUGCCAAGGUUCUUUGCAACACAAAUUAAUGGACUAAAAGCCACAUUUUGCUCUUCUUGUACUUAAUCUUCUACUAAAAGGGGAGGUUCAGGGUGGAAGAGCCCAUCAAAUUCAGUUGUAAAAAAAUUCUAACUUGGAGUUUUCUUUUUGUACCAUCAUCAGUAAUGGACCAGGAAAUUUGAUAUGAAAACAGGAUCAGGGAUUUGACUUGUUUAGCUGUGCAACAAAGGUUAGCAUUUAAUGUCAGGAGAUGCCCUUUUUCUCCUUUGUAGUUUAAGGCACAUGCAAUGUUUCUGCAGAUAUUACAAAAUGAAGAUUGAAAAAACUAGAUUGAGUUUAUUGGGAAGCUCUCUAACCCUAGCUGAUGAAAGAGCCUUUUUGUUUUGGACGAGUGCCUUGCUUAAUCCCUAUUAAAUUUAGAUACAAAUUUGAGUGGUCAGGGCUUCAGGAUUGUGUGUGUGUGUGUGUGU
rnacentral:misc_RNA from 1 species